GGCAGGGUUAGUACUUAGCUUCGGUGUAAGUAAAUGCUUAUGCUGAGGAAAGUCCACCCACUAUGUUGGCGCGGGCUAAUGAUGUUCGCAUGCAACAAAAAAGCCACUCACGGAAGUGAGCUCUAGCAAUAGAGGGCAACCACUCAGAAACGAGACCGCUGUAAUAAAGGAUGAUGUUUGUGAAGAUUCUCGCGAGAGAGUCAAGCUAACCAAUUGACGUUUUUGCAGCAAGGGUGAAACGGUGAGCCCUGGCUGGUGCAAGUCCGUGAAUGUCCAAUUUUGAAAAAAUUGGAAGCAUUCCAGUACGCUUAGUUUAAUGCUAAGACAGGCUAUCGUGAUUACAAUAAUCACAUUAAGGGUCUGACAAAAGGUGGCUUAUUCAAACCCUGCC
rnacentral:RNase_P_RNA from 1 species